rnacentral:lncRNA from 1 species
CUGUUACAAAGACCUUGCAUUCAGAUGCACCUUCUCCACCACCUUCCUUUCAAGAGACAUCUCCAUCUCCCAUGUCCGAGCAUUCAUCCACAACUUCCACUCUCCCGCCUCCUCCUCCACCUCCAUCCCAUUCUUUUCCUGGAAUGUCUCAAUCUUUUGUUGUAAAUAACUCAUUUUCAAUUCCUCCUCCUCCUCCACCUCCACCCCAUUCUUUUCCUGGAAUGUCUCAAUCUUUUGUUGUAAAUAACUCAUUUUCAAUUCCUCCUCCUCCUUCCUUACCCCCUUCAUUUUCAAGAAUAUCUUCAACAUCUUCCUCUGUCAAGAACUCAUUUUCAGCUCCCUCUCCUCCUCCCCAACCCCCCUCACUUUCAGGAAUAUCUCCAACUUCCUCUGCCAAAAACU